GGCAACCCGCUCGGGUCUCCUUACGCACUGUGGAAGCUUUCUUCCUUCGCUCUUUGCAAUAAAUCUUGCUACUGCUCACACUUUGGGUCCACACUGCCUUUAUGAGCUGUAACACUCACCGGGAAGGUCUGCAGCUUCGGGAAGGUCUGCAGCUUCACUCCUGAGCCAGCGAGACCACGAGCCCACCAGGAGGAACGAACAACUCCAGAGGCGUCGCCUUAAGAGCUGUAACGCGGCAAAGGUCUGCAGCUUCACUCCUGAGCCAGCGAGACCACGAACCCACCAGGAGGAACGAACAACUCCAGAGGCGUCGCCUUAAGAGCUGUAACGCGGCAAAGGUCUGCAGCUUCACUCCUGAGCCAGCGAGACCACGAACCCACCAGAAGGAAGAAACUCCAAACACAUUCGAACAUCAGAAGGAACAAACUCCAGACGCGCCACCUUAAGAGCUGUAACACUCACCGGGAGGGUCCUCGGCUUCAUUCUUGAAGUUAGUGAGACCAAGAACCCACCAAUUCCGGACACAUAACCACUAUGCUAGACCAGAUACAGGAAAUCUUCGUAACCUCAGGAAGUUCUCCUGUGCCUCUUUGCAGUCACUUCCUCUCCGUGCCUUCCUCCCACCCCCGCCAUCUGAGGCAACCACAACUCGAAUUUCUAUCAUAUUGUGUUAAAUUACUACUUCUAGAAAUUCAUGUAAAUGAAAUCAACCAGAAUGUGAUGUUUUCAGAUAUAUGAUCUCUGGUUGUUUUGUGAUCCCAGGAUCUACUGAGAUGUAUAGCAUAAGAAGUUAUGCACAUCCUGGAUUUUGCUCCAGAGCGGAAGAGUGGCAGAGUGGCAGAGGAGCAGAGCAGUACAGCAGAGAAGGAGAGAAGAGAAGGAGCG